rnacentral:rRNA from 1 species
UUGUUAUUUGGAGAAGGUGCUUCGGAAGAGAUGAUGGUCCAAGUCCCUUGGAAAGGGCGUCCCAGAGGGUGAGAAUCCCGUAGGUGACUAAUCUUCGAUUCCAUGUGAAGCCCUUUCGACGAGUCGAGUUGUUUGGGAAUGCAGCUCUAAAUGGGUGGUAAAUUUCAUCUAAAGCUACAUACCUGCCAGAGACCGAUAGCGCACAAGUAGAGUGAUCGAAAGAUGAAAAGCACUUUGAAAAGAGAGUCAAACAGUACGUGAAAUUGUUGAAAGGGAAGCGUUUGCAAUCAGACUCGUUUGCGGAAGCUCAGCCUUCCUCCGGGAUGGUGUAUUCUUCUGUCAGC